rnacentral:rRNA from 1 species
ACUCCUACGGGAGGCAGCAGUGGGGAAUAUUGCACAAUGGGCGCAAGCCUGAUGCAGCCAUGCCGCGUGUGUGAAGAAGGCCUUGGGUUGUAAAGCACUUUCAGUCGUGAGGAAGGUGGUAGUGUUAAUAGCACUAUCAUUUGACGUUAGCGACAGAAGAAGCACCGGCUAACUCCGUGCCAGCAGCCGCGGUAAUACGGAGGUGCGAGCGUUAAUCGGAAUUACUGGGCGUAAAGCGCAUGCAGGUGGUUGUUAAGUCAGAUGUGAAAGCCCGGGGCUCAACCUCGGAAUAGCAUUUGAAACUGGCAGACUAGAGUACUGUAGAGGGGGUUAGAAUUUCAGGUGUAGCGGUGAAAUGCGUAGAGAUCUGAAGGUAAUACCGGUGGCGAAGGCGGCCCCUGGACAGAUACUGACACUCAGAUGCGAAAGCGUGGGAGCAAACAGGAUUAGAUACCCCGU